GCUCUCGUAGCUCAGUUGGUUAGAGACCCUGUUUAGGGGUAAGGGAGGUCUUGAGUUCGACUCUCAACGAGAGCA